GGGGCUGUACCGGUUUUGACAGCAUAGAUCUUUGGAAGUGUAAGCAUGUCGUGCGUUGGAUAAUUAGCACGUAAAUCUGAAUAUUCAAACCAUAAAUGGCAAUACUCAGUAUGCCAUGGCUGCCUAAUCAGUGAUUAGUUAGUCAUUAGGGCCGCCGGGCCGGUUGAUCUGUUACCACGCCCCGCCGCCGACUUAAAAACAAAACAGGUUGCUGCAAUGAAAGGCUGUGCUCAUUGCUUAAGACCAUCCAGCUAAGUGUUAUGUUGGUUUGUUCAUUUCCUGUAUAACGCCGACAAACAAUAAUGAAAUAAACAUGUAGAAAGCUUUUGGAGAAUGUGUUUGGACAGGGGUUCGAAUCCCCUCAGCUCCACCA
rnacentral:tmRNA from 1 species